UACGAAGGGGGCUAGCGUUGUUCGGAAUUACUGGGCGUAAAGCGUGCGCAGGCGGCCAUCCAAGUCAGUGGUGAAAGCCCGGAGCUCAACUCCGGAAUUGCCAUUGAAACUGUUUGGCUCGAGUACGAGAGAGGUGAGUGGAAUUCCCAGUGUAGAGGUGAAAUUCGUAGAUAUCGGGAGGAACACCGGUGGCGAAGGCGGCGACCUGGGGUAGAUACUGACGCU
rnacentral:rRNA from 1 species